rnacentral:rRNA from 1 species
CAAUAGCGUAUAUUAAAGUUGUUGCGGUUAAAAAGCUCGUAGUUGGAGUUCUGCCAGGUGCCGCCUGUCCGCCCCAGUGGUGAGUACGUGGCGCGCAUUUGGCCCUUUCAAGGGGAGCGUAUCUGCACUUUAUUGUGUGGUGCGGGAUCCUUGACUUUUACUUUGAGGAAAUAGGAGUGUUCCAAGCAGGCUCUCGUCGUGCACAGCUCAGCAUGGAAUAAUAGCAUUGGACCUCGAUUCUAAGCUGUUGGUUGCCAGAAGCGAGGUAAUGAUGAAGAGGGAUAGUUGGGGGCAUUCGUAUUUAACUGUCAGAGGUGAAAUUCUUGGAUUUACGAAAGAUAAACUUCUGCGAAAGCAUUCGGCAAGGAUGUUUUCAUUGA